CUUGAUGAAUUGACAUUUGACUGUGUAGUAGACUAUUUUUCGAUAAGACAAAUUUGAAAAACACGCCUUGUUUAUUCUGUCAAUUUGAACAAAAAGCAAGUAAUACGAAUUUGGGACAUUUAGUUCAGUUUUUUUAGUUUUUCAGGGAAGGCAGACCAGUUAGGAUAGGGCAUUUUUACUUUAAAUUUGUUUUAGAUGUUAUUAGAAGUAAAAAAAAAAAAACAAAAUACAAAAAUGAAGAUCUAAUUUUGGCUUGUUGUGAAAUUCAAAAUUAAAGAGUUGACUUCUUGCAACCUCCAGCGAUGUCCCAUGCUAAGAAUACCUGGCGACGUUAGCAGCUGGCACAGGACGUCUUGCAUUUACAGAAAGAGCCAAUCAAAUGGAUAAUGAAGACAAGGAUGCCCACUUGACAUUGAACAGCUAUUCGAGAGAUGAUCUAUUCGAGGAUCAAAAACAUGUAGCUAUGGCUCCUUUCUUCAUAUGCGACAAUGAAUAUCGAUGGUCUCCUUAGUUAUCUGGGCGAGAAGAAGGAAGGAGAAUAGCAAAGCCUUCCAUUCUCUGGCCGACAAGGGACCCUUCUCAAAUGUUGGACGAAGGCGUUGCAGAGUAUGCUGACUAUUUUGACUAUUAUGGUUACAGUUCCGGACAAUCAAGAGCGCAUGGACAUUGAAGACAAGGUGGUACCUGAAUUGAGUGAUGGAAUAUCAACUACUCUUCAGAAAUCUGACCAAAAAUUGCAUCAUCUACAUUUAAUGAAGUGGGUCUUGUCCGGAAAGCAGAAGCAUUGUGGGGCUCAGAUUUAGAUACAUUGGACGACCGACUAGCCAGUCUAUUCCAGUUUUAUAAUCGCCGUUUGUUAGAAGCAGAAACCAAAAAACUUGCAGUUUAAAUAAAAAGCCACGCAAGCCAUUUAGAUACUUCGAA